rnacentral:rRNA from 1 species
UACGUAGGUGACAAGCGUUGUCCGGAUUUACUGGGCGUAAAGAGCGCGCAGGCGGUCGAUCAAGUCGAGUGUGAAAGCCCCCGGCUCAACUGGGGAGGGUCAUUCGAUACUGAUCGACUCGAAGGCAGGAGAGGGUAGUGGAAUUCCCGGUGUAGUGGUGAAAUGCGUAGAUAUCGGGAGGAACACCAGUGGCGAAGGCGACUACCUGGCCUGUUCUUGACGCUGAGGCACGAAAGCUAGGGGAGCAAACGGG